UACAGAGGGUGAGAGCGUUAAUCGGAAUUACUGGGCGUAAAGCGUGCGUAGACGGUUAUCUAAGUCAGAUGUGAAAGCCCCGGGCUCAACCUGGGAAUUGCAUUUGAGACUGAAUAGCUAGGGUGCGGUAGAGGGAAGCGGAAUUUCCGGUGUAGCGGUGAAAUGCGUAGAUAUCGGAAGGAACAUCAGUGGCGAAAGCGGCUUCCUGGACCAGCACCGACGUUCAGGCACGAAAGCGUGGGGAGCAAACAGG
rnacentral:rRNA from 1 species